UACGUAGGGGGCAAGCGUUGUCCGGAAUCAUUGGGCGUAAAGAGCGCGUAGGCGGCCCUGUAAGUCCGCUGUGAAAGUCAAGGGCUCAACCCUUGAAUGCCGGUGGAUACUGCAGGGCUAGAGUCCGGAAGAGGCGAGUGGAAUUCCUGGUGUAGCGGUGAAAUGCGCAGAUAUCUGGAGGAACACCGGUGGCGAAGGCGACAUCCUGGACCGGUAUUGACGCUGAGGCGCGAAAGCCAGGGGAGCAAACGGG
rnacentral:rRNA from 1 species